AGAGGGUGACCGGCCACAUUGGGACUGAGACACGGCCCAAACUCGUACGGGAGGCAGCAGUGGGGAAUAUUGCACAAUGGGGGAAACCCUGAUGCAGCGACGCCGCGUGAGCGAUGAAGUAUUUCGGUAUGUAAAGCUCUAUCAGCAGGGAAGAAAAUGACGGUACCUGACUAAGAAGCCCCGGCUAACUACGUGCCAGCAGCCGCGGUAAUACGUAGGGGGCAAGCGUUAUCCGGAUUUACUGGGUGUAAAGGGAGCGUAGACGGCAUGGCAAGCCAGAUGUGAAAGCCCGGGGCUCAAGCCCCGGGACUGCAUUUGGAACUGUCAGGCUAGAGUGUCGGAGAGGAAAGCGGAAUUCCUAGUGUAGCGGUGAAAUGCGUAGAUAUUAGGAGGACACCAGUGGCGAAGGCGGCUUUCUGGACGAUGACUGACGUUGAGGCUCGAAAGCGUGGGGAGCAAAC
rnacentral:rRNA from 1 species